UACGUAGGGUCCGAGCGUUGUCCGGAAUUACUGGGCGUAAAGAGCUCGUAGGUGGUUUGUCGCGUUGUUCGUGAAAACUCACAGCUCAACUGUGGGCGUGCGGGCGAUACGGGGCAGACUAGAGUACUGCAGGGGAGACUGGAAUUCCUGGUGUAGCGGUGGAAUGCGCAGAUAUCAGGAAGAACACCGGUGGCGAAGGCGGCUCUCUGGGGCCUUACCUGACGCUGAGGAGCGAAAGCGUGGGUAGCGAACAGG
rnacentral:rRNA from 1 species